UCUCCGUAGGUGAACCUGCGGAGGGAUCAUUACAGAGCUCUCGCCCUCGCGGGUAGAUCUCCCACCCACUGUUAUCGUUACUGUGUUGCUUUGGCGGGCCGCCGGGCCCCGCUCGGCCGCCGGCUCCGGCUGGCGCGCGCCCGCCAGAGGCCCAGCAAACUCUGAAUGUUAGUGUCGUCUGAGUACUAUAUAAUAGUUAAAACUUUCAACAACGGAUCUCUUGGUUCUG
rnacentral:misc_RNA from 1 species